GAAAGAAAGAUUAAUAUGCGAUAGUAUGGUGAGAUUGCAUGAUAGCACCAUUAAAGAUUCAUCGGUAAACGAUGGGGAUGCGUUCCAUUAGUUAGUAGGCGGGGCUAACGGUCCCACCUAGCCUGCGAUGGAUAGGGGUUCUGAGAGGAAGGUCCCCCACAUUGUGAACUGAGACACGGUCCAAACUCCUACGCGGAGGCAGCAGUGAGGAAUAUUGGUCAAUGGGCGAGAGCCUGAACCAGCCAAGUAGCGUGAAGGAUGAAGGUCCUACGGAUUGUAAACUUCUUUUAUAAGGGAAUAAAACGCUCCACGUGUGGAGCCUUGUAUGUACCUUAUGAAUAAGCAUCGGCUAACUCCGUGCCAGCAGCCGCGGUAAUACGGAGGAUGCGAGCGUUAUCCGGAUUUAUUGGGUUUAAAGGGAGCGCAGACGGGAUGUUAAGUCAGUUGUGAAAGUUUGCGGCUCAACCGUAAAAUUGCAGUUGAUACUGGCGUUCUUGAGUGCAGUUGAGGUGUG
rnacentral:rRNA from 1 species